CCUACGGGGGGCUGCAGUCGAGAAUCAUUGUCAAUGAGCGCAAGCUUGAACGUGCGACGCCGCGUGUGGGAUGAAGGCCUUCGGGUUGUAAACCACUGUCAGGGGCUAACAAUAAGUGUGUAACCCACAUGAUGAGUUAAACCCCAGAGGAAGUGACAGCUAACUACGUGCCAGCAGCUGCGGUAAUACGUAGGUCGCAAACGUUGUUCGGAAUUACUGGGCUUAAAGGGCGCGUAGGCGGUUUCGUAAGUCAAGGUUGAAAUCCGGCGGCUCACCCGUCGAAGUGGCCUCGAUACUGCGGAACUAGAAUCAUGGAGGGGUGCGCGGAACUUGUGGUGGAGCGGUGAAAUGCUCAGAUAUCACAGGGAACACCGGAGGCGAAGGCGGCGCACUGGCCAUGUAUUGACGCUGAGGCGCGAAAGCCAGGGGAGCGAACGGGA
rnacentral:rRNA from 1 species